AGACUGAUCCAUGCAGAGAUAAUUAACGAUCUUCUCAGCAGCUGUUCCUCUCAGAUAGUUUGUCAGUGAGACAGAGUCUGGAUUACCAGGAUGCAGCGCCUGCGGAGCGGACUCGGGUAGAAAGUGUUGAGCUGGUGCUCCCGCCUCAUGCCAAUCACCAGGUCAGCACAUUUGGUGGACAAAUCAUGGCCUGUUUGGAGAACGUAGCCACCAUCUCUGCCAGUCGUUUGUGUAAUGCUCACCCAACUCUGCGGAGCAUAGACAUGUUCCACUUUCGCGGACCAUCCCACAUUGGAGACAGGCUUGUGUUGAAGGCAAUCGUAAACAAUGCUUUUUUAAGAAAAGGUACA